rnacentral:rRNA from 1 species
CUCAGGAUGAACGCUGGCGGCGUGCCUAAUACAUGCAAGUCGAACGCGAGCACUUGUGCUCGAGUGGCGAACGGGUGAGUAAUACAUAAGUAACCUGCCCUAGACGGGGGGAUAACUAUUGGAAACGAUAGCUAAGACCGCAUAGGUACGUGACACUGCAUGGUGACCGGUAUUUAAAAAUAUGUGCCUCCAAAGACACAUGGUGAGAGGAUGGGACUUAUUAGGCUGCAUUAAGCUGGUUUGGCGGGGGAUAACGGGCCCCACCAAGGCGGACGAUUGCGUAUGCCGACCUUGAGAAGGGUGACCGGCCCACACUGGGACUGAAGAACACGGCCCCAGAUCUCCUACGGGGAGGCAAGCAGUAAGGGAAUUUUUCGGCAAAUGGGGGAAACCCUGACCAGAGCAAACGCCGCGUGAAAGGAAGAAGGUUUUUCGGAUUUGUGAAACUUUCUGUUAUAAAGGAAAGAACGGCGGCUACAAGGAAAAUGGUAGCCGAGUGACGGUACUUUAUUAGAAAGCCACGGGCUAACUACGUGCCAGCAGCCCGCGGUAAUACGUUAGGUGGCAAGGCGUUAUUCCGGAAUUAUUGGGCGUAAAGAGGGAGCAGGCGGCAGCAAGGGUCUGUGGUUGAAAGCCUGAAGCUUAACUUUCAGUAAGCCAUAGAAACCAGGCAGCUAGAGUGGCCAUGGAGAGGAUCCGUGGAAUUCCAUGUGUGUAGCGUGUGAAAUGCCGUAUGAUAUAUUGGAGGGAACACCCAGUGGGCGGAAGUGCGACGAUCUGGCCUGCAACUGACGCUCAGUCCCGAAAGCGUGGGGAGCAAAUAGGAUUAGAUACCCUAGUAGUCCACGCCGUAAACGAUGAGUACUAAGUGUUGGAUGUCAAAGUUCAGUGCUGCAGUUAACGCAAUAAGUACUCCGCCUGAGUAGUACGUUCGUAAGAAUUCAUCUCAAAGGAAUUGACGG